AGUGGAUGGGGAGCAACCUAGUUGUGCGUGUGUAAAGGUAGUGCCAAGAAAAGCGAUGAUCAUGUUGAAAAUCAAUUCCCGGUACCCGAAACCGACACAGGUGGGCAAGUAGAGAAUACUAAGGGGCGCGAGGUAACUCUCUCCAAGGAACUCGGCAAAAUGACCCCGUAACUUAGGGAGAAGGGGUGCCACCGAGAGGUGGUCGCAGUGAAGAGGCCCAGGCGACUGUUUAGCAAAAACAUAGGUCUCUGCAAACUCGAAAGAGGAGGCAUAGGGGCUGACGCCUGCCCAGUGCCGGAAGGUUAAAGAAGUUGGUCAGUUUUAGGAUGAAGCUAGCGACUGAAGCCUCGGUGAACGGCGGCCGUAACUAUAACGGUCCUAAGGUAGCGAAAUUCCUUGUCGGGUAAGUUCCGACCCGCACGAAAGGCGUAACGAUCUGGGCGCUGUCUCGGAGAGAGGCUCGGCGAAAUAGGAUUGUCUGUGAAGAUACGGACUACCUGCAUUUGGACAGAAAGACCCUAUGAAGCUUUACUAUAGCUUGGAAUUGUGUUCGGGCUUCCUGUGCGCAGGAUAGGUGGGAGGCGUAGAAGGUAUUCUUGUGGGGAUACUGGAGCCAACGGUGAGAUACCACUCUCAGGAGGCUAGAAUUCUAACUUAAUUAAGGACAGUUUCAGGUGGGUAGUUUGACUGGGGCGGUCGCCUCCAAAAAGGUAACGGAGGCGUACAAAGGUUCCCUCAGACUGGUUGGAAAUCAGUCGAAGAGUGCAAAGGCAGAAGGGAGCUUGACUGCGAGAAGUACAGUUCGAGCAGGGUGGAAACACGGUCUUAGUGAUCCGACGGUGCUGUGUGGAAGGGCCGUCGCUCAACGGAUAAAAGUUACUCUAGGAUAACAGGCUGAUCUCCCCCAAGAGUUCACAUCGACGGGGAGGUUUGGCACCUCGAUGUCGGCUCAUCGCAACCUGGGGCGGAAGUACGUCCCAAGGGUUGGGCUGUUCGCCCAUUAAAGCGGUACGUGAGCUGGGUUCAGAACGUCGUGAGACAGUUCGGUCCAUAUCCGAUGUAGGCGUGAGAAUAUUGAGAGGAGCCUUCCUUAGUACGAGAGGACCGGGAAGGACGCACCGCUGGUGUACCUGUUAUGAUGCCAAUUGUAAACGCAGGGUAGCCAAGUGCGGAGAGGAUAACCGCUGAAAGCAUCUAAGUGGGAAGCCACCUCAAGACGAGUAUUCUGGUGUAAGGUCACGGGAAGACGACCCGUAAAUAGGCACGAGGUGGAAGUGCAGAGAUGUAUGAAGCCGAAGUGUACUAAUAGACCGUCGGCUUGAC
rnacentral:rRNA from 1 species